CCAAAGCUUUGGUUAAUGUGGAAAUGAGCACAAGGCAACCGUAACUCUUACACCCUGAUACCAGGGCAGGUAAGGUGCUCCAAGAAACAUUUUACAUCUGUUUCUAAUUUAUUUCUACAUUUGUAAACCCUUAACACUAAAUAAAGGAAAAUUAUGGGAUGAAUUGCAACAUUAAAGAAGAGAUGAGGAUGAAGAAGUUGAGCUUCUGGGAAUGAACUGAAAACCCUGUUCAAAAGUGGACUCAUCAAAAUACAAGCUGUACACUCAAACUGAUUGCCUUGGGGUAAUCUCAAUCAUAAACAACUUAUUCUGCUCAAACUACGUCUAUAGAGAGUCGCGAAAACUCUUACCUUCUUGUGGCGUUUCUUCAGUGAAAUUUAUUCGGAUCCAUCGUAUCAUAGGUGGCGACUGAACAAUACCGAGCGAGACACAACUUGCUUGCAACACAUUUCAGAACUCAUGAAUCCAAGAGAAGCCGGUGAUUCUCGCAGCUACAAAGUAUUCAACCUCUAUGCUUGCGAUAGAUCGUGCAGCGGGAAGUGUCAAUUGGAGUUGACAUCCAUAUCAGUCAAACACUGGCAGCGUAUUUUGGAGACAGAUGUCAAUUUUCUCAGAUGUUUUCAAAAACUGAGGCCAAGUACCUUCACUCUACUGCACCGGAGAAAAAAUAAGGUCACGAUGGUCAAGUUGAAACUUCUUAUGUCAAAACAUGUAACAGCUAUCGCCUGCCAAUGUAUCAGGUUGUGAGCCAAUCUACUGAAGAAUCAGAUCCUAUACAUGGUGAAUCUGGACACAACUCAAGGAACAGCUCUAAACUAUCCUCUCUUCUGGAGGAGUGUAAUGACAGCAAGUCAUAUAGUGAAGCUCAUCAUUAUUGAAGCCAAAAAUCGCCACCUGAAAGUACUAAUUGGAAUACUUGAUCCACAUAACCACAAUUGCUUAGAAUCUUGUCAGAAACAGUCAAGGGAAGAAUUAGGAAGACGUUACAAAUUAGACAUUUCCAAGUAAUCAAGUUCAUGUUUCAUGAGUAACUCGACUUUCAAGGUCCCACUGCGGAGUAUUAUUUCAAAAGUACAAUGGAAUCAAUGAAUAGUUUCAGUUCCUCAACUGGAUGGAACGUUCAGUGGAGCCCAGCAUCUGCAUGGAAUAAACAUGUAGCAAUCAUGUUGAAAUUGUAGAACAAUUAUUAAGGCCUAGGCAGUCUUAUUGUAACCUUCAUCGAUUAAUUUAUGCGAGAGGUAUACCCCAGUUGUGUCAAAAAAAUAAAGAAAUAAAACUAAAAUUGAAUAUAAAAGACGGAUGGUAUCAUACCUGUACCCCAGCUCAAUUAGCCGAUUAUUCCGCAGAACAAUAUAUCAUGAGAAUUACGAUGAUGGUUGUCAAAACUUAUUAGAUGAACUAUGAGCAAGUAAGAGACAACUAUUGGGAGCACAGCACAGAUGCUAUUCGUCAAUAUGCUCUGCAUCUAAACCCAGCAUUCAAGCUCCAAUAUCAAUGUUCUCAUUCUUGUACUCUUUGAGAUAGGCAGUGCAUGAAAAGCAUGACAUGUUUCACAAGACAAUUCCCACAAAUACAAAAGUGGUACAGAUGAAUCAGUAAUUUGACACAUUGGUACUAAC
rnacentral:lncRNA from 1 species